AAGGGCUAAGUGGGGCAACCCUUAAAUAAAUUACUUGGCAUAAGACAAAGGUACCAAAGCCAACUCUGAAAUCCAAAACAUACCUUUGGUAGCCAAUAUCCAAUCCAUGGCGCUGUUGAGAUCCUAAGGAUCCAUGAUAGGCUCACGUCAAAGGGGUUAUGAGAUGCGGAAAGAUUAUUUCAGAUUUACAUAUAACAACACUCCGGUGGGAAAACACUUGAUUGCAAAUAGGAGUGAAAAUAUCUAAUUGUUAUCUCAGUAAGAAAAAUGGGUAGCAUGAAUAUCCCAAUAGGUCACGGAAGAACACAAAGGAGUAGGAGACUAUGACGCCAAAUAUUUAAAGUACACAAAUGAAAAAACAAGAUCAUAAUCACAUAGGAUUAAUACAAAAGAAAUAAUUGCAUCGUUAGAGAAAACUAAUCCGUUAGAAGUGACAAUAAUAAAAUAAAAAUAAAAAAAUUGUGCUUCCGAAGUAAGAACCUGUAAUAAUAGUUAAUAGUCGGGGCAGUCUCAAGACCAAAAGUAGGGAAAUAUUUUUAGUAUGGCGAAGAGUAAUGUCCAGUGUAAAAGAGAAGAGGGAAUAUGAAUGAUGUUCAGAAAAUAUAGAGUUAGGAUGUAAUUUAUGAUAAACAGAAUUCAAGAAACAAUAAGUCAUGGAUAUAAUUACAACAUUCAAUCAUAAAAAAUUACGGUUAAAUAAAAGUUCAUACAAAUUGGAGAACUUUGAGUGUGACAUUCUAAAGGUAACAAACAUGAAAUCAAGAGAUUCAAACAAAAAUCCAUUAAUAGAACGUCAUUAAUCUCAAAUAUAAGAAUGUUUAUAGGACAACAAAAACAAUCAAAAUUUAAAUCAUGAAAGAAAUCAAACCCAAAAAAAAUUCUUAAUAAUUAACCAUAGCCUUUUAAUCCCUAAAGUCUGAUGAUAGCUUUACCAUCACCCAGUAUACUUAAUAUUAUUCUAUUAUGAUUGUGUCCAUCGGUGAAGCGGCAAAGAUAUUGCUAGUCAAAGUUUUCGAGGCGACGGUGAUAGCAUUUCAACGAAAACUUGCCAGUCGUUAAAUAUGACAAGACAAAAAUAAAAACAAGAUGGGGGAGAGGGAAUGGUAAAGAGAAGAGAAAGAGAGAGUGAGAAAAAAAGAAGAUGCGAGAGGUGGAUAGUGACGAUGUUGGGGUGAAAAGAGAGGAGGAAAAGAAAGAGAAGGGGUGGUAGGUGGUUUUUGAUUCACCGGUGGUGGUUGAUAUCAGUUCGGACUAGUGGAGGUUGUGGAGGUUUUCGGUGGGGGAAGAGAGUGGUGGGGCGCUGGUGGAUGGAAAGAUAUUUUGUAGAGGUGCAGUUGUUGGCUGGUUUCGCGAUUGAUGAAAGACCACAACAGCUUGUUAUGAGGUCCAUUAGUGGCAGGUUUACCGGUAGAGAUAUGGAUGAAGUCGUUGAUGUAUUUGGUUUAGAGAGAGAAGGGGGGAGAAGCGGCUGGUUGAAGAUGAGACUAGGGUUUGUGUGUAAAUAAUUAAAAAGGAAAAGAAAGUUUGAUUUAAU
rnacentral:lncRNA from 1 species